rnacentral:lncRNA from 1 species
AUGGAGACCACAUUCUGCAAAUGCAAAAUCCCUCAGCACUGGGAACCAUUGACUCCCCUCAGAGACACAGUCCCACUCAGCAUUGGCUCUCUCUGCUGGGUCUGCAGCAGCUUGGCUGUUCUCAUAGCUGAUGGAUUAGUGCUGAUCUACACUGAUUGCUCACACCUGCAAUUCAAACUAACCCCUGUUCUGCUCUGUGCAAUCAGCCAUGGCCAGGUCUAAGGUGGGGGCACGUGUGGAGGUGGAGAAGAACACCAAAGCCAAGAGCACUUCCAGGUGCUGCUGACAGGUGGAUUGAACCUGCGUUUGCCAUCUCGAUACCCUGGAGUCAGAGGGCCCAGACCAAACAGUGUGUUUUCAGGAAGAGACGUUUUAGUAAAUAAAAAUAGCAAUUAGACCCAACUUUCUGCUGUAGUUCACGGUCUGGGGAUCAAGCUUAAUCGUCUGCCAGAAGAGUUUAAACGGAUAAAAACAGCCAUCUGUAAGGUGAACAAAUCUUUACAUAAUCAAGGCCAGGUGCCAUGGCUCAAGCUUGUAAUCCCAGCACUUUGGGAGGCCAAGAUGGGCAGAUAGCGUGAGUCCAGGAGUUCGAGACCAGCUUGGGCAAGAUAACAGAACCUUGUCUCCACAAAAAUACAAAACGCAGCCCGGCAUGGUGGUGUGUGCCUUUGGUCCCAGGUACUCAGGAGGCUGAGGUGGGAGGAUUGCUUGAGCCUCGCAAGUGGAGGUUGCAGUGAGCUGAGAUCCAUGCCACUGCACUCCAGUCUGGGUGACUGAGCGAGAACCUCAUCUCAAAAAAAAGAAAGAAGGAAAGAGAAAGAAAAGAAGGAAAAAAAAGAAAAAGAAAGAAAAGAGAGAGAGAAAGAAAGACCAGCCCAAAGUACAGAAGUACAGUGUGCUCUACACCAGCCACCAUUAUGGUAGACAUUCCCAUAGACCCCAAGGUCUAUGGGAGCUGGUAGUGAAGGAAAGCUCCCACUGCAGGGCAUAGCAAGUGCCACCAUGCUCCUCUCUGGAUACAGCUGGUAGAGAGUAGUACUGUCAUGUUUAAUUCCACCAGAGAUGCUGAAACUGCCGUAAACUAAUGUGUGUUUGGCAUGGAGUGGGAGAUGUGCUGGUCUCAUAGCAUGGGUAGAAGCUGAGCAUGAUGAGUAGGACUGUGGUGUGCCUGCUGUGGGAUGAUGAAAUGCAGAAGAGCACAGUGCUGGCCUUCCGUGAAGAAGACAGUUUCACCCUUCUGAAGCUUGAUGGGCACUGAGCUGAAUUAACGGUGUGCUUCCCCAGGAACCAAGGAGGUCACAGGCUCCAAGACUCGCAAUGGCUAUAUACCCACAUGUCAAACCAAAUGAGCAAAUCUAGCUGAAUCUUUUCUCUGGGUUGGGGGUGUGGGGAAGAGAGUAUGUGUGGGUAUCUUGCCAGAUGCCAAAAGUUACUGAAACUCUCUCCUCUGUUAAUCCACCUGGGGGCUAAAACCGGAGGGUUUUCAUUUUAAUAAUAUUCAUGUUAUUAGCAUCUGAAACAUGAAAUGCCUACAGUUGAUAAAUAAAGGCCUUUUCUGUAAUAUUCCAGUAAAGGCCAGAGGCACUUUGCAUUUAAGAAUAACUAAGUACAAAUAAAAUUCAGUCUUUAAAACAGUCUUUAAAACUGCCACUUGGUUACCAAUAACUAAGCUGGGACUUCCUACUCUUCUCUCUUCCCGAGGCCAUAACUUAAGAGAAGUAACUGUUCUCCUCAAAGAACUACUGUAGACAUAGCUACUCCCAGAGUUCAUCUAUCUUACCAAUUAAUGUAUGUAAGCAAAGAAUUUUAUCCACUUUAUCCUCCUCCUCCACUGGGCUCUCGCAGCCUUCUUUCUUUGGAUACCAAAGAAUUCCUGAAUAGAAAUAGCUAUUCUGUGACCUUACAAAAUUCAGAUGUGCUGUCUGUUAUGUUCUAGUCUCGCAGUGACUGGCCCCAGAUUUGGGGUGUCCUAUUUCUUGUUUUGUUGUUUGAGACUGUCUGCCUUCCUUCAAAGCUGAUUAAUCUCAGGUGCCUGGAGUGAAGGCCAUGAGGCCAUAUAAUAUUAAGGCACCAAGACAACUUCAAUAAGUGGUUUAAUGUAUUUGCAGUGGCCAAAAUUAGAACACCUUCCUUCUCCUUUGAUUUGACAGCCUAUUUUUCUGCUGCGAUUUGCAGUUCUUCCCCCUCUAACAACUUGAGUUAAUUUCUAUUCUGAAAGAAGUCAGGAGCAAAGGAGCCGAGGUAAAGCUCUAGACUGAUCCAGCCCUGGGGAGGUAAAAGUACAGUGGCGAAGCGAGGCUGAGUGCCUUGGUGUUGUUCCUGGUGCCUGAGGUGCGUGGCAAACAUCCAAGCAAUGGCAGUGACGAAGGCCCUCGAGAGAUGUGGAGACGCAGUCCUCAGUGGUCACAGUGGGGAGAGGCUCAGGAGCGGACCUUCAAGAUGUGGGACAGAAGAAGAUCCAGAAGCUGCGAAGGUCCAUAAACUUGCCCUCCUCGCAGGGCCAUUUAAGGUGCUAUAAUCUUCCCAGUAUGUUGACAAUAAGGUGAUUUCCUUGCAAUCUGGAUUAUAUGUACAUGCCUUUUCAUAUACACAACAAAAUGUUUUUAGAUUAUACCACUUAUCUUGAAAAUGUUAUUUUGUUGAAGUGUAGACACAAGUCUUAUUUUUGUCUUGUGUGUAAUUCACGUGUGUCUGUGUGUCCUUUUACACUGUGUACAUACAGCCUUUGCAUUUAUGCAUUGACUGUGUAAGAAGAAGAUGCGAAGUGCAAAGUCAGUGGUAACCUUUACGUUGGGAAUGUGACAAUCGAAGACAUAUUCAUCAUGAAGCUCCAGAUCCCCUCACGUGUACAGGCCCAUUCCGAGGCUCUGGAGUGGUCCCGGCAAUUGUGCACAUUAUCAUAUGCUUUGGGAAAUUUUGGAAAAUCAAGAAAUUUUCAUCUCAAUCAGUUAACACUCUGGUCUUUUUCCUCUCUGACCUUCCUUUUACCACAUUUCUUGUAUCAGCUAGCCUUGAAGUAGAUGUAUUUUUGAGAUCCAAUUAAGGAGAAGUUAAUCUAUGGAUAUAUUUAGUUUAAAUUUAAUAGGAUAUAUUUAUCUGCUUUGCUAGCCAUUCCAGUAUAAAGAAUGGACUUUGGGAUUAUGGCUGCCCUCACCGUGCUAAUUUACCCAGUAUCAUGAAACAGAGGUACAAGGCCGAAUGUUAUGCCAUCAUAUAGAAGUCCUACAGGAAAUUGGUCACAAAAGUACAUGUAUAAUGGAGAAGAAACACAGUUUGAAAUGCAUGGAGCUAGAAGGUAGUCUGUAAAGAAUUUCACUGUUCAUCAGAUGUAUAAAAUGGUGAGUGAAGAAUUUUUCUUUGGUAUCUCAUCAAGAUGGACAUUUUCUUCUGUCAAGUAUAUACAUGAUGAGAUGUGGCAGUAGCGUUUAGGCUUAGAAAUGUGAUUGGGUUUGAAUCUUGCCUCUAAUAUCUGCAAGCCUCAGUUUACUUCUCUGUAAGAAAAGAAUAAUAGUAUCUCUCAGAUUUAUAAUGAGAAUAGCUAAGAUUGAGUACUUUACUGUGUGUCAAGCCCUGGGCUUUAAAACAACUCUGUCAAGAGGAUACGAUUAUUUUUUUCCAUUUUACAGAUGAGAUUGAGGAAUUGGCCCAAGGUAACAUAACAACAUAAUAUGCAUUGAAUCUAGAAGGUGAACUCCAGUAGUUUGGCAGCCCCCAUAGUUACUCGACUGUUCUAUAAGGACACAAAAGAGAUAUGGAAUGUUUAUAGCACUGAGGCAGGCAAUUAUCAUCCAAGAAAUUGUAGGAACUGUUAUGCUACCCACCACGGGCUUCUCUACCCAUGGUUGCCACUGCCGGUU